rnacentral:rRNA from 1 species
AGUGCAGGUGGCCUCGUAAGUUGGAUGUGAAAUUUCUUGGCUUAACUGAGAAAGGUCAUUCAAUACUGCGGGGCUUGAGGGUAGAAGAGGGGGUGGAAUUGCCGGUGUAGUGGUGAAAUGCGUAGAUAUCGGCAGGAACACCAGUGGCGAAAGCGGCCCCCUGGUUUACUCCUGACACUCAGACUCGAAAGCUAGGGUAGCGAACGGGAUUAGAAACCCCGGUAGUCCUAGCCGUAAACGAUGGAUGCUAGGUGUAGGUGGUAUUGACCCCAUCUGUGCCGAAGCCAACGCGUUAAGCAUCCCGCCUGGGGACUACGGCCGCAAGGUUAAA